rnacentral:rRNA from 1 species
AUUGAACGCUGGCGGCAUGCUUUACACAUGCAAGUCGAACGGCAGCGCGGGCUUCGGCCUGGCGGCGAGUGGCGAACGGGUGAGUAAUACAUCGGAACGUGCCCAGUAGUGGGGGAUAGCUCGGCGAAAGCCGGAUUAAUACCGCAUACGACCUGAGGGUGAAAGCGGGGGAUCUUCGGACCUCGCGCUAUUGGAGCGGCCGAUGGCAGAUUAGCUAGUUGGUGGGGUAAAGGCCUACCAAGGCGACGAUCUGUAGCUGGUCUGAGAGGACGACCAGCCACACAGGGACUGAGACACGGCCCAGACUCCUACGGGAGGCAGCAGUGGGGAAUUUUGGACAAAGGGCGAAAGCCUGAUCCAGCAAUGCCGCGUGUGUGAUGAAGGCCUUCGGGUUGUAAAGCACUUUUGGCGGGAACGAAAAGGACUGUGCCAAUACCACGGUUCGAUGACGGUACCCGCAGAAUAAGCACCGGCUAACUACGUG